CCUACGGGAGGCAGCAGUGGGGAAUAUUGCACAAUGGGGGAAACCCUGAUGCAGCGACGCCGCGUGAGUGAAGAAGUAUCUCGGUACGUAAAGCUCUAUCAACAGGGAAGAAAAUGACGGUACCUGACUAAUAAGCCCCUGCUAACUACGUGCCAGCAGCCGCGGUAAUACGUAGGGGGCAAGCGUUAGCCGGAUUUACGGGGUGUAAAGGGAGCGUAGACGGCAGAACAAGUCUGGAGUGAAAUCCCGGGGCUUAACCCCGGAACUGCUUUGGAAACUGUGCGGCUGGAGUGCAGGAGGGGUAAGCGGAAUUCCAAGUGUAGCGGUGAAAUGCGUAGAUAUUAGGAGGAACACCGGUGGCGAAGGCGGCUUACUGGACUGUAACUGACGUUGAGGCUCGAAAGCGUGGGGAGCAAACAGGAUUAGAUACCCUGGUAGUC
rnacentral:rRNA from 1 species